rnacentral:pre_miRNA from 1 species
UAAACUGGUUUAAUGUGUUUUGCAAAGACCUUGGCUUUUCUUAAAUUUUAUAUAUUGGAAAGCCCGUGUUUGUAUUGGACCCACUGGUUUC